AUUCAUGAUUGCAUUGUAGCCGCCACCCCCUCCUUUGCGCCAUCGUCCCAUUUUCUUAAAAUUUCAUCAAGUGUCUGGACAUUCAAAUAAAGUUUACAUGAGGUGUUUCAAUUGGAAACAAAUAGUGACAAGGCCGAGCUUAUACCAGAAGACUUGCUCUUUCUAAUCAAUGUAUGAAAGUAAUAUGGACAUCAUUAAACAAGAUGUAAGGGUGGGGUUACUCAGGCUGCUUUUGGUUUUGGAUGGCAAGCCUAUGCAAGAGUUUGGUGGAGUUGAUCAGGAAGGUUAUCAUGCCUAGUCCCAUCCCGCUGCACUGGUGGAUUACAGCAGCAUAAGCAACUCAUGAGUCACGGCGAAAUGCAAAGGAAAGAAAGAAAAGUAACAAACAAACUAAAAGGAUUAUCUCUUGUUCAAAGUCACUGGGCUUACAGGUAA